rnacentral:rRNA from 1 species
CACGUAGGGCGCAAGCGUUGUCCGGAAUUAUUGGGCGUAAAGAGCUCGUAGGCGGUCUGUUACGUCUGCUGUGAAAACCCGGGGCUUAACCCUGGGCUUGCAGUGGAUACGGGCAGACUAGAGGCAGGUAGGGGAGAAUGGAAUUCCCGGUGUAGAGGUGAAAUUCGUAGAUAUCGGGAGGAACACCGGUGGCGAAGGCGGCGACCUGGGUAGAUACUGACGCUGAGGUGCGAAAGCGUGGGGAGCAAACAGG